rnacentral:rRNA from 1 species
ACAUGCAAGUCGAGCGAGAACCCAGGCUUCGGCCUGGGGGAAAGCGGCGAACGGGUGAGUAACACGUGAGUAAUCUGCCCUCGACAUCGGGAUAGCCCGGGGAAACCCGGAUUAAUACUGAAUGGCCCAACAGCUUUUCGGAGCGGUUGGAAAAGGUAGCUUCGGCCUCCGGUCGAGGAGGAGCUCGCGGCGGAUUAGCUUGUUGGUGGGGUAACGGCCCACCAAGGCUUCGAUCCGUAGCUGGUCUGAGAGGACGAUCAGCCACACUGGGACUGAGACACGGCCCAGACUCCUACGGGAGGCAGCAGUGGGGAAUCUUGCGCAAUGGGCGAAAGCCUGACGCAGCGACGCCGCGUGAGGGAAGAAGGCCUUCGGGUUGUAAACCUCUUUCAGGAGGGACGAAGCCACUCGGGUUAAUAGCCCAGAGGGUGACGGUACCUCCAGAAGAAGCCCCGGCUAACUACGUGCCAGCAGCCGCGGUAAUACGUAGGGGGCUAGCGUUGUCCGGAUUUAUUGGGCGUAAAGAGCGUGUAGGCGGCCAGGUAGGUCUGCUGUGAAAACUCGAGGCUCAACCUCGAGACGUCGGCGGAAACCAUCUGGCUAGAGUCCGGAAGAGGAGAGUGGAAUUCUGGUGUAGCGGUGAAAUGCGCAGAUAUCAG